rnacentral:tRNA from 1 species
GCCUGGGUGGCUCAGUCGGUUAAGCGUCCGACUUCGGCUCAGGUCAUGAUCUCACAGUUCGUGGGUUCGAGCCCCGCAUCGGGCU